rnacentral:rRNA from 1 species
CAGCCGCGGUAAUACAUAGGGUGCAAGCGUUGUCCGGAAUUAUUGGGCGUAAAGAGCUCGUAGGUGGUUAGUUACGUCGGAUGUGAAAAUCUAGGGCUCAACCCUAGACCUGCAUCCGAUACGGGCUAGCUUGAGUUUGGUAGGGGAGACUGGAAUUCCUGGUGUAGCGGUGGAAUGCGCAGAUAUCAGGAGGAACACCAAUGGCGAAGGCAGGUCUCUGGGCCAAUACUGACACUGAGGAGCGAAAGUGUGGGGAGCGAACAGGAUUAGAUACCCUGGUAGUCCACACAGUAAACGAUGGGCACUAGUUGUGGGAACCUUCCACGGUUUCUGCGACGCAGCUAACGCAUUAAGUGCCCCGCCUGGGGAGUACGAUCGCAAGAUUAAAACUCAAAGGAAUUGACGGGGCCCCGCACAAGCAGCGGAGCAUGCGGCUUAAUUCGACGCAACGCGAAGAACCUUACCAAGGCUUGACAUAUACAGGAAUAUGGCAGAGAUGUCAUAGCCGCAAGGUCUGUAUACAGGUGGUGCAUGGUUGUCGUCAGCUCGUGUCGUGAGAUGUUGGGUUAAGUCCCGCAACGAGCGCAACCCUCGUUCUGUGUUGCCAGCAUUUAGUUGGGGACUCACAGGAGACUGCCGGGGUCAACUCGGAGGAAGGUGGGGAUGACGUCAAAUCAUCAUGCCCCUUAUGUCUUGGGCUGCACGCAUGCUACAAUGGCUGGUACAAAGGGCUGCAAUACUGCAAAGUGGAGCGAAUCCCAAAAGCCAGUCUCAGUUCGGAUUGGGGUCUGCAACUCGACCCCAUGAAGUCGGAGUUGCUAGUAAUCGUAGAUCAGCAACGCUACGGUGAAUACGUUCCCGGGGCUUGU